rnacentral:rRNA from 1 species
UACGUAGGGACCAAGCGUUGCUCGGAUUUACUGGGCGUAAAGGGCGCGUAGGCGGCGCGGUAAGUCACUUGUGAAAUCUCUGAGCUUAACUCAGAGCGGCCAAGUGAUACUGCAGUGCUAGAGUGUGGAAGGGGCAAUCGGAAUUCUUGGUGUAGCGGUGAAAUGCGUAGAUAUCAAGAGGAACACCUGAGGUGAAGACGGGUUGCUGGGCCAACACUGACGCUGAUGCGCGAAAGCCAGGGGAGCAAACGGG